rnacentral:lncRNA from 1 species
GCCAGUGUCACAACCAGCCAAUGUAUAAUCAUCUUGUGUAACCAGCCCUUUGUGCCUGCCUGCUGCUGCCCACGGUAGUUUCCUUCCUACAUCUUUCUUCCCUCCAAACCACACUGCACAAGGAACCUACAGGAGUUUACAGGGCAUGUGAAGAAUGAAUGGAGUCUGAAAACUCGACCAUUAUCCUGCUGUGGGUUACCAUCUACCCAGCUCCUCUGAUACGCUCUUCAAUUCUCCCAAGUCGCUCUUCCUUGGAAAAGUUAUAGUACUCGUCAGUCCCUCCGGAACAUCUAUCUUAAAGAAAAUACACUGUUCGGAGGAAAGGAGCUCUAAAUAUAUGUGUCUCCAGUGUUCAUCCCACAGUCUCAUCAGUGACAUCAGGAAAGGCUGCAGUUACAACUCAGUGGCCGUGCAUUUGCCUAGCACAAGUGAGACCCCAGCACCACAAGUAAAUCAUAGGGCCUUAUGAGUGCCAUACUAUUGUGAUUUAUAACAUGUAUAGCUAAGUAUACAUGCUAUUGUUUUCAUCUGGACAUGAUGGCUGCCUUCCGCUAAUUCCUCAGCUGGGGUCUCAAAGCUUCCAUACCCAGUGUAGCUGCAUUUCAGGUACUGAUUUUGUACCUCUUUUUUUUUUAUGAUUUCUAACUCAUUUUAAUAAAUUUUAUGUGUGUCUAUGUGUGUAUCUCUCU